GUUCCUUUCAUUUUACCUGGGGUACUACAUUUUAUGCUCCUCUUUUCCCUUUCAGAUCCAGAAAUACAGUUAUAAUAAAGACCUAGCCUUCUAGUACUACACUACACUGUGUUUAGGAACAUAAGGCCAUCCCUAUGCUCUGCCAGUUCUCCUUAGAAUCUGUGAUACAUGCUAGUUCUUUUAGUAUCUCAUUAUAUGUGUCAUCGAUAUCUUGCUUGGCCUAAAGCCACAUGGCAGCCUGACAAGAUUGUGCUGCAGUUUGGCAGUUUCUGUACAGGGCACAGCUGUCAGCAUCUCUUAUCCUCCAUUUCAGAAAAUCAGCUGGUACUGGCAAGAGAUCAUAAGCUAAGACUAAGCAGUAACUGUGCAUCCUUUUUAGCAAAGCAAAAAUGGAAAAAUCAUUGCAUAGAUCGUUUUCUGUCCUAGUCUUUUUGGCAGCCCUUUCUUACUGAUGGCAAAUCAGAUAUUUCUUUUCUGUUUCAGCACUUCAAAUCAUAUAGAAUGGGUUUUCCCAUCCUCCUUUUAUUACUUGUUGCAAAUGCACAGCACAAUGCUAGAGGGAAUAUAAAAGGAAGGCUGCUCAUUACAUACAUGAGCAUAUGCUCUGCCUGUGAAGAACAUAUACUCCAGCUGCUUCUGCAGGCCAGUGUCAGGAACACAAGAAACCUUGUCUGCAAACUGCAGGGCCACCUGCAAAAGGAAAGAAAAAGAAAGGACUGGAUCAAGGGCAGAGUAACCUAUCCACAUGGUAAAGGUAAAUGAUCUGCUCUAAUGCCUGGCAGGAGCACUGUGGCUCAUAGACGUGAGGACUUUGCUGGAAGAGCUGAAGCUGUCUGGAGUUACUUCCCAUAGCUGAAGCCAUGAAAAAGGCUGUUCUAGAGUGGAUACAUGACCAGCAUUUUUACACACAGCCAAGAUUCAUGUGAAUUGGUCAUUUUGCAAUGCUGUGCUUCACAGAAAUCAAGAUGUAACUUCCUGAAUGCUGCUGACUCUAUUGUAACCUCCUGCUAUGUUCUUCCCAUUAGACAAAGUAAAGCAGAGAAAUCAUACACAGAUGACUUUCAGGAGUUCUGUUGUUUCCUUAAAUCAUUAUGACAAAAGGCCACUAACGACAAGAUUAAAGACAGGGGUUGAUUUAGCUGGCAAGGUUUCCAGUCUGACCCCUGAAAUCCAUGUAUACCUUCUUCACACUAACUUUUGCACUUCUUAUUUACUGACAAGCGUGUAAGCACUCACACACAUACACACACACACGGAUGCAGUAAAUACAUGCUGUCUACAGAUGUGCAAAUACACAGGGCCUUUCAGCUCUUAUAUUGUGACAAUCAGUGCCAAACGGUCAGGACAACAAAGAUGUUAAAGCAGCCACUGUAAGCAUAGCAGUUGCUUAAUCUCAUAAAGAAAAA
rnacentral:lncRNA from 1 species